rnacentral:lncRNA from 1 species
AGUGCAGAAAGGGGGUAGCGAGAGCUGCGGGCGCCGGGGUCUGCUUAAACAGAAGAGGUGCUUUGUUUAAUGUACUGAGGGGCGAUGGGGUGAAGUAUGAGCGGAGCUCUCUGCCCGGUGUCUGUGGGAUGCCGUUCGUCGACAGCGAUGUGGACCAGACUUUUGAAUGUAUUGGAUAUACGAGUGGGUCCCUGAAGAGGCGGUUGCAGGAGCGUGGGAAGGAUGUUGAGAGGGCUGCCACCGCCACGGCUUUGGCGCGGAGGGCCCUAAUUGGCGAUGUGGCUGUUGACUGGGAUGAGGCCGGACUUUUGCAGGAGCAGGAGGACCCACAUAGGGGGG